rnacentral:tRNA from 1 species
CUCCCCAUAGCUCAGCGGCAGAGCAGUGGACUUUUAAUCCAUUGACGCAGGUUCGAUUCCUGCUGGGGAGACCA